CUGUGUCAGUAUAUCAAAAUCA
rnacentral:miRNA from 1 species